rnacentral:rRNA from 1 species
AUUGAACGCUGGCGGCAGGCCUACCACAUGCAAGUCGAGCGAGCGGCGGACGGGUGCGUAAUGUAUGGGGACUGCCCGAUAGAGGGGGAUAACUACUGGAAACGGUAGCUAAUACCGCAUACUAUCGGAUAACCCAUAGGGGAUUAGCUAGUAGGUGAGGUAAUGGCUCACCUAGGCGACGAUCCCUAGCUGGUCUGGGAGGAUGAUCAGCCACUCUGGUGCUGAGACAAGGCCCAGACUCCUACGGAGGCAGCAGUGGGCAAUAUUGCACAAUGGGCGCAAGCCUGAUGCAGCCAUGCCGCGUGUAUGAAGGAGGCCCUAGAGUUGUAAAGUGCUUUCAGUCGGGAGGCGUUACCGACAGAAGAAGCACCGGCUAACUCCGUGCCAGCAGCCGCGGUAAUAC